rnacentral:rRNA from 1 species
AAUGCGAUAAGUAAUGUGAAUUGCAGAAUUCAGUGAAUCAUCGAAUCUUUGAACGCACCUUGCGCCCCUUGGUAUUCCGAGGGGCACACCCGUUUGAGUGUCGUGAAAUUCUCAACUCAACCACCUUUGCUGGUGUUUGGGCUUGGACUUGGGGGUUUGCUGGCUUCGGUCGGCUCCCCUUGAAUGCAUUAGCUCGAACCCUUGCGGAUCAGCUAUCGGUGUGAUAAUUGUCUACGCCGUGGUUGUGAUGCCACCUUCGGGUGUUGGAUCGGCUUCUAACUGUCCCCUAGGGACAAUUUCUUUGAAAUCUGACCUCAAAUCGGGUGGGACUACCCGCUGAACUUAAGCAUAUCAAUAAGCGGAGGAAAAGAAACUAACAAGGAUUCCCCUAGUAACUGCGAGUGAAGCGGGAAAAGCUCAAAUUUAAAAUCUGGCGGUCUUUGGCCGUCCGAGUUGUAGUCUGGAGAAGCGUCUUCCGCGC